AUAUCAAUAAGCGGAGGAAAAGAAACUAACGAGGAUUCCCCUAGUAACUGCGAGUGAAGCGGGAAAAGCUCAAAUUUAAAAUCUGGUGGUCUUUGGCCAUCCGAGUUGUAAUUUAGAGAAGCGUCUUCCGCGCCGGACCCGUGCACAAGUCUCCUGGAAUGGAGCGUCAUAGAGGGUGAGAAUCCCGUCUUUGGCACGGAUCCCUGGUGCUUCUGUGAUGCGCUCUCGAAGAGUCGAGUUGUUUGGGAAUGCAGCUCAAAAUGGGUGGUGAACUCCAUCUAAAGCUAAAUAUUGGCGAGAGACCGAUAGCGAACAAGUACCGUGAGGGAAAGAUGAAAAGCACUUUGGAAAGAGAGUGAAACAGUAC
rnacentral:rRNA from 1 species